AGCGACGUCAUGCCUUGCUCCGCCUCCGAGUGACGUCAUUCCCUGCCCUGUUCUCCAUCAUUAUUGUGGGCUACAGAAAAGAACGUCUUAUUAACAAGAGUGUGCGUUUAAAACCUGAAGGCCCUAAUGGGUGACUUCUCAACAGGGAGGAAAGCAAGGCGGAUGCAGGAUAAAAGAUUCUGCAGCCCUCAGACAGGAUUAAGGAAAGGCAUGACGUGGCAUAGGGGAAGACCCAGGGAUACUAUCGCAGGGAUGAGUGAGGAGGAUGAAUGGGAAGCAGGGACCUGUAAGGAAAAUUUAAUAGAUCACAUGACUGGAACGGCAAGCAGGGAGGUGCAAUAAGAAAUUCUUAGCAAUAAGGAGUUUUAGUUUUCUUAGGCAGAUAACGGACCGGGUACAUCAGAAUGUAGCGCUCGGCCCCAUGGGACACCACGUGUGUGUAGGUGGGAAGACAGCUGUGUGGCGGCUCUCCGCCAAUCACAUCGUGCCAUUCGUGUUUUCAUUCACCAAUUGGAUUCUGACCUUCGUGGUUCCUGUUUACAUCUGAUGUAAGAGACCUAAUAGGCCCGGCGCUGGGAUUGCUGAUUGGUUGAUUAUCCAGCUCGGAACACGUUUUGUAUUGGAUGGCGAUAACGUCAGCCCGAGGGAAGGGCGGCGCUACAGUCCCUGAAAUGAUUGGCGGCAGUGUGGGCGGCGCUACAGUCCCUGAAAUGAUUGGCGGCAGUGUGGGCGGCGCUACAGUCCCAGAAAUGAUUGGCAGUAGUGUGGGCGGAGCUACAGUCCCUGAAAUGAUUGGCGGUAGUGUGGCAGUGGAACAUUCCCAUUCAAAGACAUGCCUGGUAGGCAUGGUCCGUGUUCCUAGCAACAAGACAGCAGUUUAAGUUCCAGACUGGAGACUCAAGGGAAAAAAGGUCUCUUCUGAGGGAGAAUAAGACAAAAGAGAAAACCUGAAAAUGAAAAAAACAGAAAAUACUGGAGCUCUUCUUGUGACUGUUCCAUCUACAAUGAGGAGCAAUGUGACCCCAGUUGGCUGCACUAGCAGCUAGGGCCAUACCCAGAAAUGCUGCCCAGUGCUGCUCUAUACCAGCUGCCAACUACAUCCCAUUCCUCCAACCUCCAGCUGCCAACUACAUCCCAUUCCUCCAACCUCCAGCUACCACCUACAUUCCAUUCUUCCAACCUCCAGCUGCCACCCACGUCCCAUUGCUUCAACCUUCAGUUGCCAUCUAGGUCCCAUUCCUCCAACCUCUAGCUGCCACCUACGUCCAAUUCCUCCAAACUCUAGCUGGCACCUAGGUCCCAUCCCUCUUGCUUUCUCUUGGUACUGAUGCCUCCCUCACUCAAGAGGCUUCCUGGGUAUAAACUCUGUAUUAUUAGUGAUCAUAUAAUCCAGGGGGGGAGACUCUAUACUGUAGAAUAUGUUGUGCCCGUACCAGUUGAAUGGGUGUAGUUGAAAAACAGCUGAGGGACUGUUGACUGGAUGGGCCUUUGUAAAUUACGGUGCACCCCUAAAGUCUGUUUUGCCCUGGGUUUAUUUUCUAAUAAAUACAGCCCUGAUUAUGAAUGAGUUAGAAGUACCCUGGCUCAGAAGCCACUACAGUAACCCCAGCGCUGUUAUGCUACAGCCACUAGGUGUCAGUGUGGCACUGGGCAGAGAAAGUCACCUCUGCCAUGUAAGCAAUGGGUACAAACAGAUUUGUGGGGCUCAUUCUGUGAAUCCCAGUUCCAAUGGGAACCCGUAGCUACUUGGCCUGUCCCAUUUGUAUUACUGUGACAGUUUCUCCCACUUUCCCUGCACAGAGUUGCCAAAUGUCCCCUAGAGAGAUUUCUCUGAAUAUCCCUCCCUCGUCUGCACAACUAAGGGCCAACACUGCUGUCCUGUGAGUGUUGUGGCUUCUACACUGCCAUUUAACUUUUUACUUUUCUUUCUCUCUGUAUAACUAAUUUUGUAUUUAAGGGGAAGUAAAGUUAAAUAACACAAAA